GACGAACGCUGGCGGCGUGCCUAAUACAUGCAAGUCGAGCGAAGUUUUUCUGGUGCUUGCACCGGAAAAACUUAGCGGCGAACGGGUGAGUAACACGUAAAGAACCUGCCUCAUAGACUGGGACAACUAUUGGAAACGAUAGCUAAUACCGGAUAAUAGCAUUAACUGCAUGGUUGAUGUUUAAAAGUUGGUUUUGCUAACACUAUGAGAUGGCUUUGCGGUGCAUUAGCUAGUUGGUGGGGUAAAGGCCUACCAAGGCGACGAUGCAUAGCCGACCUGAGAGGGUGAUCGGCCACACUGGAACUGAGACACGGCCCAGACUCCUACGGGAGGCAGCAGUAGGGAAUCUUCCGCAAUGGGCGAAAGCCUGACGGAGCAACGCCGCGUGAGUGAAGAAGGAUUUCGGUUCGUAAAGCUCUGUUGUUAGGGAAGAAUGAUUGUGUAGUAACUAUACACAGUAGAGACGGUACCUAACCAGAAAGCCACGGCUAACUACGUG
rnacentral:rRNA from 1 species